ACGGCCGCGGUACUCUGACCGUGCAAAGGUAGCAUAAUCACUUGCCUUAUAAUUGAAGGCUAGCAUGAAAGGUUUGACGAGGAUUAUACUGUCUCUAUAAGAAUUACUAAAAAUUAUUUUUUAGGUGAAGAAACCUAAAUAAAAUUAAAAGACAAGAAGACCCUAUCGAGCUUAAAAACUAUUUAUGAUGCCAAAAAACCCACUGUAUUUUUUUCAUAAAAAAUUUUGGUUGGGGCGACCAAGGAACAAAAAAAGCUUCCUCUAUUAAACUAUAUUAUACCUGAUCCACACUCAUUGUGAUUAAAAAAAUUAGUUACCGUAGGGAUAACAGCAUAAUCUUUUUUGAGAGCUCCUAUCGAAAAAANAGGUUUGUGACCUCGAUGUUGGACUAGAAUAUCCUGAUAGGUGCAGAAGCCUUCAAA
rnacentral:rRNA from 1 species